CGUAGGUAACCUGCCUGGUAGCGGGGGAUAACUAUUGGAAACGAUAGCUAAUACCGCAUAACAGUAGAUAUCGCAUGAUAGCUGCUUAAAAGGUGCAACUGCACCACUACCAGAUGGACCUGCGUUGUAUUAGCUAGUUGGUGGGGUAACGGCUCACCAAGGCGACGAUACAUAGCCGACCUGAGAGGGUGAUCGGCCACACUGGGACUGAGACACGGCCCAG
rnacentral:rRNA from 1 species